UACGGAGGGUGCGAGCGUUGUCCGGAUUUAUUGGGUUUAAAGGGUGCGUAGGUGGAUUAAUUAGUCAGUGGUGAAAUGCCAGAGCUUAACUUUGGAGCUGCCAUUGAUACUGUUAAUCUUGAGUACUGUAGGGGUAAGCGGAAUUUGUGGUGUAGCGGUGAAAUGCAUAGAUACCACAAGGAACACCAGCGGCGAAGGCGGCUUACUGGGCAGUUACUGACACUGAUGCACGAAAGCGUGGGGAGCGAAC
rnacentral:rRNA from 1 species